UGGGGAAUAUUGGACAAUGGGCGCAAGCCUGAUCCAGCCAUGCCGCGUGAGUGACGAAGGUCUUCGGAUUGUAAAACUCUUUUGGCGGGGACGAUAAUGACGGUACCCGCAGAAUAAGCCCCGGCUAACUUCGUGCCAGCAGCCGCGGUAAUACGAAGGGGGCUAGCGUUGUUCGGAAUCACUGGGCGUAAAGCGCACGUAGGCGGAUGUGCCAGUCAGGGGUGAAAUCCCGGAGCUCAACUCCGGAACUGCCUCUGAUACUGCACGUCUUGAGUUCGAGAGAGGUGGGUGGAAUUCCUAGUGUAGAGGUGAAAUUCGUAGAUAUUGGGAAGAACACCAGUGGCGAAGGCGGCUAACUGGUCCGGUACUGACGCUGAGGUGCGAAAGCGUGGGGAGCAAACAGGAUUAGAUACCCCUGUAGUCCCUGAGCGGGCUGGCAAGGCG
rnacentral:rRNA from 1 species